rnacentral:rRNA from 1 species
UUGAACGCUGGCGGCAGGCCUAACACAUGCAAGUCGAGCGGAUGAAGGGAGCUUGCUCCUGGAUUCAGCGGCGGACGGGUGAGUAAUGCCUAGGAAUCUGCCUGGUCGUGGGGGAUAACGUCCGGAAACGGGCGCUAAUACCGCAUACGUCCUGAGGGAGAAAGUGGGGGAUCUUCGGACCUCACGCUAUCAGAUGAGCCUCGGUCGGAUUAGCUAGUUGGUGGGGUAAAGGCCUACCAAGGCGACGAUCCGUAACUUGUCUGAGAGGAUGAUCAGUCACACUGGAACGGAGACACGGUCCAGACUCCUACGGGAGGCAGCAGUGGGGAAUAUUGGACAAUGGGCGAAAGCCUGAUCCAGCCAUGCCGCGUGUGUGAAGAAGGUCUUCGGAUUGUAAAGCACUUUAAGUUGGGAGGAAGGGCAGUAAGUUAAUACCUUGCUGUUUUGACGUUACCAACAGAAUAAGCACCGGCUAACUUCGUG